CUAGCAUAUCAAUAAGCGGAGGAAAAGAAACCAACAGGGAUUGCCCUAGUAACGGCGAGUGAAGCGGCAACAGCUCAAAUUUGAAAUCUGGCGUCUUUGGCGUCCGAGUUGUAAUUUGCAGAGGGCGCUUUGGCAUUGGCAGCGGUCCAAGUUCCUUGGAACAGGACGUCACAGAGGGUGAGAAUCCCGUACGUGGUCGCUAGCCUCUACCGUGUAAAGCCCCUUCGACGAGUCGAGUUGUUUGGGAAUGCAGCUCUAAAUGGGAGGUAAAUUUCUUCUAAAGCUAAAUACUGGCCAGAGACCGAUAGCGCACAAGUAGAGUGAUCGAAAGAUGAAAAGCACUUUGGAAAGAGAGUUAAAAAGCACGUGAAAUUGUUGAAAGGGAAGCGCUUGCAGCCAGACUUGCCUGUAGUUGCUCAUCUAGGUUUCUACCUAGUGCACUCUUCUAUAGGCAGGCCAGCAUCAGUUUGGGCGGUUGGAUAAAGGUCUCUGUCAUGUACCUCUCUUCGGGGAGAACUUAUAGGGGAGACGACAUGCAACCAGCCUGGACUGAGGUCCGCGCAUCUGCUAGGAUGCUGGCGUAAUGGCUGUAAGCGGCCCGUCUUGAAACACGGACCAAGGAGUCUAACAUCUAUGCGAGUGUUUGGGUGUCAAGCCCGAGCGCGUAAUGAAAGUGAACGGAGGUGGGAACCUUUCGGGGUGCACCAUCGACCGAUCCUGAUGUCUUCGGAUGGAUUUGAGUAAGAGCAUAGCUGUUGGGACCCGAAAGAUGGUGAACUAUGCUUGAAUAGGGUGAAGCCAGAGGAAACUCUGGUGGAGGCUCGCAGCGGUUCUGACGUGCAAAUCGAUCGUCAAAUUUGGGCAUAGGGGCGAAAGACUAAUUCGA
rnacentral:rRNA from 1 species